rnacentral:rRNA from 1 species
AUUGAACGCUAGCGGAAUGCUUUACACAUGCAAGUCGAACGGCAGCAACAGAAAGCUUGCUUUCGGGUGGCGAGUGGCGAACGGGUGAGUAAUGUAUCGGAACGUAUCCAAUAGUGGUGGAUAAAUACGCGAAAGCGUGGCUAAUACCGCAUACGUCCUACGGGAGAAAGCAGGGGACCUUCGGGCCUUGUGCUAAUGGAGUGGCCGAUAACGGAUUAGCUAGUUGGUGGGGUAAAGGCCUACCAAGGCGACGAUCCGUAGCUGGCUUGAGAGGACGACCAGCCACACUGGGAUUGAGACACGGCCCAGACUCUUACGGGAGGCAGCAGUGGGGAAUUUUGGACAAUGGGGGCAACCCUGAUCCAGCCAUUUCGCGUGUGUGAAGAAGGCCUUCGGGUUGUAAAGCACUUUUGCCAGGGGAGAAAAGGGGCUAACUAAUAAUUAGUUCUGCUGACGGUACCUGGAGAAUAAGCACCGGCAAACUACGUGCCAGCAGCCGCGGUAAUACGUAGGGUGCGAGCGUUAAUCGGAAUUACUGGGCGUAAAGGGUACGCAGGCGGCAUGGCAAGAAGGAUGUGAAAUCCCAGGGCUCAACCUUGGAACUGCAUUCUUAACUGCCAAGCUAGAGUAGGUCAGAGGGGGGUAGAAUUCCACGUGUAGCAGUGAAAUGCGUAGAGAUGUGGAGGAAUACCGAUGGCGAAGGCAGCCCCCUGGGAUCAUACUGACGCUCAUGUACGAAAGCGUGGGGAGCAAACAGG